AGAAAUCUAAGGCUUCUUUGGAAAUUGUGAACCAAGAAAUGGAUCUAAAAGAAAUUGCAACAUGAGUCUUGAAAUUAAAGUAUAAGCAAUAUACAACAUACUUGCCUUCAUUGGUGAUAAAUGAGAAGUGAGAAUCGAGAAAAGCACAAUAGUAAAAGCCAGAACAAACACAAGAAAUGUAAAGGGGAAAGAAGAAAGAGACAAAAUUGGUAUGCAUCAUGCAAAAGCAAGGUCAAUAAAUCAUUUCCAAAAUGGAAAUAAGUACAUACAAUUGCACCGAUUUGCAACAAUUUCUAUUUCAUAUCUCUAAGAUCAAGGCUUUCAUGCAUAAAUAUUUGUGCAGCCUUUUCUUUUAAUAAAUUAAACAACAACAACGACAACAACUUCAUUUUUUAUUUCUCAAACUAUAAAUUUCACCGGCAACAAUUUGGUGCUUUCAUGUAAUGUAAUUCACCAUCAACUAAUUCAGAGAUGAAUACAUUAAAAAUUCUGUGUAUUCUUUCAAUUAUGACAAAUGUUAUUUCCAAUAUGUAUGACUUUAGAAAAGAUGUACUAGUUGAAACAGAACAUUUGGCUAUCAAGUUGUUUCAAAUACCUCUUGAAUAUGCUUAGA
rnacentral:misc_RNA from 1 species